UACGUAGGGACCAGGCGUUGUUCGGAUUUACUGGGCGUAAAGGGCGCGUAGGCGGCAAUUCAAGUCAUCUGUGAAAUCUCCGGGCUUAACUCGGAACGGUCAGAUGAUACUGCUUUGCUAGAGUACAGAAGGGGCAAUCGGAAUUCUUGGUGUAGCGGUGAAAUGCGUAGAUAUCAAGAGGAACACCUGAGGUGAAGACGGGUUGCUGGGCUGAUACUGACGCUGAGGCGCGAAAGCUAGGGUAGCAAACGGG
rnacentral:rRNA from 1 species